rnacentral:lncRNA from 1 species
UCCUUAAUUUCCCACCUCUUUUGGAUUUUCCACCUUUUUCCUCAUGGGAUUUCCUAGGAUGACUUGUCAGCCCAAUAAGCCUUAUUGCGAAUCCAAUAAACCCAUGUGGACCCCUUGGGGCGUGGUGGGCCCACCCAGUGGGCCAUCGGAACCCGGUACACUGCCAACAAUGCCCGAAAACCUUCCAGAAUCCAAAUACCAACUUCCUAUAUAUCAAUCUUCAUUUCUGGACCAUUCCGGAACUCCUCAUGAUGUCCGAGAUCUCAUACGGGACUCCAAACAAAACUUCGGUCACCAACACA